rnacentral:rRNA from 1 species
AUUGAACGCUGGCGGCAUGCCUUACACAUGCAAGUCGAACGGUAACAGGUCUUCGGAUGCUGACGAGUGGCGAACGGGUGAGUAAUACAUCGGAACGUGCCUAGUAGUGGGGGAUAACUACUCGAAAGAGUGGCUAAUACCGCAUGAGAUCUACGGAUGAAAGAAGGGGAUCGCAAGACCUUGUGCUACUAGAGCGGCCGAUAGCAGAUUAGGUAGUUGGUGGGAUAAAAGCUUACCAAGCCGACGAUCUGUAGCUGGUCUGAGAGGACGAUUCGCAGCACGGGGACCGAGACACGGCCCAGACUCCUACGGGAGGCAGCAGUGGGGAAUUUUGGACAAUGGGCGAAAGCCUGAUCCAGCAAUGCCGCGUGCAGGAUGAAGGCCUUCGGGUUGUAAACUGCUUUUGUACGGAACGAAAAGCCCCGGGUUAAUACCCUGGGGUCAUGACGGUACCGUAAGAAUAAGCACCGGCUAACUACGUGCCAGCCGCCGCCGUAA